rnacentral:miRNA from 1 species
GGAUUCUCUGUGUAGCCUUGGCUGUCCUAGAACUCACUCUGUAGACCAGGCUGGCCUCGAACUCACAAGAUCCACCUGCCUCUGCCUCUUGAGUGCUGGGAUUAAAGGUGUGCGCCACCA